GCAGCAACGCCGCGURUAUGAUGAAGGCUUUCGGGUCGUAAAGUACUUUCAGUGGGGAAGAACUGCAUAAUCAGUAACUGGGUUAUGAUUGACGGUACCCACAGAAGCAGCCCCGGCUAACUCCGUGCCAGCRGCCGCGGUAAUACGGAGGGGGCAAGCGUUGUUCGGAGUCACUGGGCGUAAAGAGCUCGUAGGCGGCAGUGUAAGUCGGGAGUUAAAGGCAACAGCUCAACUGUUGUAAGGCUUUUGAGACUACAUUGCUAGAGUGCCAGAGAGGUAUGCGGAAUUCCCUGUGUAGCGGUGAAAUGCGUAGAUAUAGGGAGGAACNCCGGUUGCGAAGGCGGCAMCUGGCUGGUNACUGACGCUG
rnacentral:rRNA from 1 species